CUGUGGGCAGCCUCCUCCUCCUUCUGGCCAAUUUACUGCAAACAGAGAAAAUGUCCAAAAUGACGAUCGUUCAGCUUGGAGUGAUUUUGUUCGCCAUAUGUUUAUCAACACAGGUGGUUUCCCAGAACAGCACAAACCCCACAUCAUGGGGAAACUCCACCUCCGACCCUAACGCCACCACCAUGGCCACAGACACCCACAGCAGUUCGGCCAACACUACCGGCCCUACCGGAUCAGGCGUCUCGCUGCAUGCAGGCACCGUCUCCUUCCUGGCCCCCAUCAUCACGGCAGCCUCUCUCCUGCAGCGCUACUGUUGAAGCCUCGGACCCCAGAGACCCCCCUUUCUCGGCCUCAACACUCCUCCUCACCUCUCAUCUUAUCAUCCCACCCACUCCGACUUCACUCUUCCCCCCCCUUUCACCGCACUGCACAGAGACCACAAGACUAACAUGGAUGGACUCCACAACCUUUUUUGUCCUCCUUAAAUUUGUGAUAAAAAUAUGUAUAAUUCAAGACAUUUCUUUCAAUAAGGGGGGUUUAACCGUCACCUGGAGAUCACCAAGACCCCCUCAGCCCCUUGCAUGGAAUCAAAAGGAGCGGCCCUUUCCCUUUUGCCUUGCGUUUCCAUAGUAACAUCACCAAAUUCUGGAGAUGCUCAGGGCUGCGGUUGUCAUGUCACAUGUCUUGAUUGAAAUGCGGACCACUUGAGUGUACAGAGGGUCUAUUUGUGGCUUUAAAUCCACCUGGCAAUCAAUAUCAGAAUGUUUUUUGUCUGUCAAGUUAAGUUUGGCACAUACAGUAGGAGUUUAUUUCAAAAAAGUACGAGCCGGAUGACAAAUUCUAGUUGGGUUCUUUCAUAAUUUGACUCUUCGGUCUUUUUAUUAGAAUUGUCAAAGAGAUGUAUGUAGCAAAUAAGUUGCCGCAAGACUUGUGUCAGUUUUGCCUUGUGAUGUGUAAAGAGUUGCGGUCUUUUACAAUGAGGGUUUGAUUGACACCUUUCCCCCCCUUCAUCCAUGGGUCAGACCCAGGGAGUGAUAUGUAUAUUAUAACCAUAUGGGAAGGGUUGAUGUUAGAUUUAUAUUUCCCCCCUUACAGUUUAUAUUUUGUAUAAAUGGAAAUGUUGUUCUGUUUAAUAGUUUGGGUAUAAGAUAAUGGAAGAAAUGACAAUGUACAAUAAAUUAUGAAAAAUGAUCACAA